UGGGGAAUAUUGGACAAUGGGCGAAAGCCUGAUCCAGCCAUGCCGCGUGUGUGAAGAAGGUCUUCGGAUUGUAAAGCACUUUAAGUUGGGAGGAAGGGCAGUUACCUAAUACGUAUCUGUUUUGACGUUACCGACAGAAUAAGCACCGGCUAACUCUGUGCCAGCAGCCGCGGUAAUACAGAGGGUGCAAGCGUUAAUCGGAAUUACUGGGCGUAAAGCGCGCGUAGGUGGUUUGUUAAGUUGGAUGUGAAAUCCCCGGGCUCAACCUGGGAACUGCAUUCAAAACUGACAAGCUAGAGUAUGGUAGAGGGUGGUGGAAUUUCCUGUGUAGCGGUGAAAUGCGUAGAUAUCAAGAGGAACACCUGAGGUGAAGACGGGUUGCUGGGCUGACACUGACGCUGAGGCGCGAAAGCGUGGGGAGCAAACAGGAUUAGAUACCCACGUAGUCCCUGAGCGGGCUGGCAAGGCGCAU
rnacentral:rRNA from 1 species